GAUGAAGAACGUAGCGAAAUGCGAUAAGUAAUGUGAAUUGCAGAAUUCAGUGAAUCAUCGAAUCUUUGAACGCACAUUGCGCCCCCUGGUAUUCCGGGGGGCAUGCCUGUCCGAGCGUCAUUACAACCCUCAAGCUCUGCUUGGUGUUGGGCCCCGCCGCCCCGGCGGGCCCUAAAGUCAGUGGCGGUGCCAUCCGGCUCCGAGCGUAGUAAUUCUUCUCGCUCUGGAGGUCCGGUUGUGUGCUUGCCAUCAACCCCCAAUUUUUUUCAGGUUGACCUCGGAUCAGGUAGGGAUACCCGCUGAACUUAAGCAUAUCAAUAAGCGGAGG
rnacentral:misc_RNA from 1 species